AAAACCUUCAUCCUAUUUCUUGUCCUUCUUUUGCUUCCUUUAUUUCUCGAAUUUUUCUUACUUGAAGCCCUUGUGAUCAAUUCCACUGAUGGUGAUAGGGACGUGGUUUGCAUUGAGAUGGAGCGGAAAGCCCUUCUUAAAUUAAAAGGUGGUCUGGAAGAUCCUUCAGGUCGGCUUUCUUCUUGGGUUGGUGGAGAUUGUUGCAAAUGGCAAGGCGUGGAUUGCAAUAAUGAGACAGGACAUGUUAUAAAGCUAGACCUCAAAAACCCUUAUCAAUCCGAUGAAGCAGCAUUUCCCUUGUCUCGUUUAAUUGGCCAGAUAAGUGAUUCCUUGCUUGACUUGAAAUAUUUGAAUUACCUGGAUUUGUCUAAAAAUGAAUUGAGCGGCCUGAUCCCUGAUUCAAUAGGAAACCUUGACCACUUAAGAUAUCUUGAUCUUAGUGACAACUCAAUCUCGGGUUCAAUUCCAGCAUCCAUUGGAAGGCUGUUGUUGUUGGAGGAAUUGAACCUCUCUCACAACGGAAUGAAUGGGACCAUCCCAGAAAGUAUAGGACAACUGAAAGAGCUCCUUAGCUUAACACUUGAUUGGAAUCCUUGGAAGGGGAGGGUAUCCGAAAUUCACUUCAUGGGUCUUAUAAAACUGGAAUAUUUCUCCUCAUACUUAUCACCGGCUACAAACAACUCUCUGGUUUUCGAUAUUACAAGUGACUGGAUUCCUCCUUUCAGUCUCAAGGUUAUCAGAAUCGGCAACUGCAUACUGUCUCAAACAUUCCCUUCCUGGCUCGGAACUCAGAAGGAACUUUACCGAAUAAUCCUCCGUAAUGUUGGGAUUUCAGACACUAUACCAGAAUGGCUUUGGAAGUUGUCUCCACAGCUUGGGUGGUUAGAUCUUUCCAGGAACCAAUUGAGGGGAAAACCUCCCAGCCCCUUAUCCUUCAGCACAUCGCAUGGAUGGAGUAUGGCAGAUUUAAGUUUCAACCGCUUAGAGGGUCCACUCCCACUUUGGUAUAAUUUGACAUAUCUUGUUUUGGGGAACAAUUUUUUUUCAGGUCCAGUUCCCUCCAAUAUUGGGGAAUUGUCAAGUUUGAGAGUCCUGGUUGUUUCGGGGAACUUGUUGAAUGGGACCAUCCCAUCAUCAUUAACUAACCUGAAGAAUUUGAGGAUUAUUGAUCUCUCAAAUAACCAUUUAUCUGGAAAGAUUCCCAAUCAUUGGAAUGAUAUGGAAAUGCUUGGCAUCAUUGAUCUAUCCAAGAACAGACUGUAUGGCGAGAUUCCAAGUUCCAUAUGUUCAAUCCAUGUAAUUUACUUUUUGAAACUGGGCAACAACAAUCUUUCUGGGGAACUCUCUCCAAGCUUACAAAACUGCAGUCUGUACUCCCUUGAUCUUGGAAAUAACAGGUUUUCAGGUGAGAUACCCAAAUGGAUCGGAGAAAGAAUGUCAUCACUGAAGCAGCUACGCCUACGAGGCAACAUGCUGACCGGAAAUAUUCCUGAACAACUAUGUGGGCUUUCUGAUCUCCGCAUUUUGGACCUUGCACUUAAUAAUCUAUCAGGAUCCAUCCCUCCAUGCUUAGGCCAUUUGAGUGCUAUGAAUCGUGUGACCUUAUUAGGUCCUUCUCCAGAUUACCAAUAUACUGAUUAUUAUUACUACAGGGAGGGAAUGGAGCUAGUUGUGAAGGGAAAAGAAAUGGAAUUUGAGAGGAUACUUUCAAUUGUGAAGUUGAUAGACCUUUCUAGGAAUAACUUAUCGGGAGAGAUUCCACAUGGGAUUACAAAUCUCUCAACCUUGGGUACCUUGAAUUUGUCCCGAAACCAAUUGACUGGAAAGAUACCUGAGAAUAUUGGAGCCAUGCAAGGGCUAGAAACUCUUGACCUCUCAUGCAACUGCCUGUCAGGCCCAAUUCCUCCGACCAUGUCUUCUAUAACCUCAUUGAACCAUUUGAACCUAUCGCAUAACCGCCUGUCAGGACCAAUUCCAACAACCAACCAGUUCUCGACAUUCAACGAUCCAUCCAUUUAUGAGGCGAACCUAGGACUUUUUGGGCCUCCAUUGUCAACCAACUGCUCCACUCUAAAUGAUCAAGAUCACAAAGUUGAGGAGGAAGAUGAAGAUGAAGAUGAAUGGGACAUGUCAUGGUUCUUCAUAAGCAUGGGAUUGGGCUUUCCGGUGGGAUUUUGGGUUGUAUGUGGCAGUUUGGUUCUAAAGAAGUCUUGGAGGCAGGCAUAUUUCCAGUUCAUUGAUGAAACCACAGAUAGGUUAUAUGUCUUCACUACAGUGAAUGUGGCUCGUCUGAAAAGGAAGAUGAAAGCAAAUGGAGUUCAUGACUAAAAAGCUCUUUUGCAGAGGGUGAUGAGGUUUCAAAAUAACAAACAUCAUACAAAAAGAAGAUUGAAUACAAUGAUGAAUUCUUAGUGCUAAUGAAGAUUUCUUUGGUACGAGUUUCUGAGAACUUAUCUUUGAAAUGUUGGCAAGCAAUUAUUUUUCUUUAGGUAGGUUUGUUAUUUGUAAACUGUCAUUUAAGUAAGAAAAGUUGUAAUAUUAAGUUGGAUACUCAACCUACUUUUGAUAUUUUAGAGUCAUCUAUGCCUUAAAAUUAUCCUUUCAACUUCUAUGUUUAUGAUAAUUUGGUAGUUGAUUAUCACUAA